GUCAAUUCUUCAACAAAAUCCCCAGCAACAAUGGUGAGAAAGAGACACAAACAGUUAUUCCCAACAAAGAACAAGAACCUAAUUUCAUGCCUGAGAAUGAAAAUGGAGCCUAUGGCCUAUAUGGUCAUGACUCUGUCACCACUCCUAACACCAACAACCCCACUGUCCACGAUCUUCCUAACAGCAAAUACCUUCCCAAGAAUUACAACCCUGUUUCUUAUGUGACUGUCCCUGAGGACAACACUAAUGAAAAUGAUUUGAACAACAAUGAGUUUACAACCAAGCACACUACCACCACCACUGCCUCUAAUAACAACCAAUUCUACAGUGGUCCCACCACUUACGGCAACAACAACAACCAACAGUACUAUAAUGGCGUCAGCGAUUAUAGUACUAAGCGCAACAACCAGCAGCAGCAGCAACAGUUCUACAGCGGCGACAACUUUUACAGUAACAACCAGCAGCAGCAGCAGUACUACAACGGUGGCAACUCUUACAACAAUAACAACGACAACAACAACAAUGAAGAGGAGGAGGAGUACUACAACAACAAUGGUGGUAACACUUACUACAACAACAACGAGCAACAGGAGUUGAGCGAAACAAGAUUAAGUGCCAGAACUUACAGCACCAACCCAACAAAUUACGGAAACAAUUACAACAACAACAAUCAAGAACAGAGCUACUCCACCAACUACAAUAACUACAACACUGGCAAAAGUAAUUACAGGGUGCACCAGCAGCAGGGGAUGAGUGACACAAGAUUCUUGGGAAAUGGGAAAUUCUACUACGAUAUCAACGCUGAGAAACAUGCUAGGGAUCCAUAUGAAAAUGCAA
rnacentral:lncRNA from 1 species